UACGUAGGGUGCGAGCGUUAUUCGGAAUUACUGGGCGUAAAGCGUGCGCAGGCGGCUCGUUAAGUCAGAUGUGAAAGCCCCGAGCUCAACUUGGGAACUGCAUUUGAAACUGGCGGGCUGGAGUGUGGCAGAGGGGGGUGGAAUUCCACGUGUAGCAGUGAAAUGCGUAGAGAUGUGGAGGAACACCGAUGGCGAAGGCAGCCCCCUGGGCCAACACUGACGCUCAGGCACGAAAGCGUGGGGAGCAAACAGG
rnacentral:rRNA from 1 species